CCUACGGGAGGCAGCAGUGAGGAAUAUUGGUCAAUGGACGAAAGUCUGAACCAGCCAAGUCGCGUGAAGGACGAAGGUAUUAUGUAUUGUAAACUUCUUUUUCAGGGGAAUAAAGUGAGGCUUGCGAGCCUUUUUGCAAGUACCCUGCGAAUAAGGAUCGGCUAACUCCGUGCCAGCAGCCGCGGUAAUACGGAGGAUCCGAGCGUUAUCCGGAUUUAUUGGGUUUAAAGGGUGCGUAGGCGGGAAUUUAAGUCAGUGGUGAAAGUUUAGGGCUCAACCUUAAAAUUGCCAUUGAAACUGGAUUUCUUGAGUACGGUAGAGGUAGGCGGAAUUUGUGGUGUAGCGGUGAAAUGCUUAGAUAUCACGAAGAACUCCGAUUGCGAAGGCAGCUUACCGGACCGUAACUGACGCUGAGGCACGAAAGUGUGGGGAUCAAACA
rnacentral:rRNA from 2 species